CGCAGUAUUUUGACUGUGCGAAGGUAGCAUAAUAGAUUGUCUUUUAAAUGGAGGCUUGAAUGAAUGGUUGGACGAAGUAUCGACUGUUUCUUAGAUAAUAAUUGAAUUUGACUUUUAAGUGAAAAGGCUUAAAUAAAUUAAAAAGACGAUAAGACCCUAUAAAUCUUUACAUUAUUUAUGCUUUAUAUUUUAAAUUAUAAGUUUAUAGGUUAUAAAGUGUGUAUUUUGUUGUGCUGGGGCGGCAUAGAUAUAUAAGCGACCUGUUUAUGAAAAGAAAUCAGUAAUAUUUGGUUAGUAAAGUUGAUCCUUAAUAAAGAUUAUAAGAUUAAGAUACUUUAGGGAUAACAGCGUUAUUUUUUCUGAGAGUUCAUAUCGAAGAAAGAGUUUGCGACCUCGAUGUUGAAUUAAAGUUUUCUCUAUGGUGCAGAAGUUAUAGUAGAAA
rnacentral:rRNA from 1 species